rnacentral:rRNA from 1 species
CCUACGGGAGGCAGCAGUGGGGAAUAUUGGGCAAUGGAGGCAACUCUGACCCAGCAACGCCGCGUGAAUGAUGAAGGUCUUCGGAUUGUAAAGUUCUUUUCUAAGGGAAGAGGAAAGUGAGGGUACCUUAGGAUUAAGCUUGGGCUAAGUACGUGCCAGCAGCCGGGGUAAUACGUAGGAGGAAAGCGUUAUCCGGAAUGACUGGGCGAAAGGUGGCGUAGGUGGUUUGACAAGUUGGUAGCGCAACUCCGGAGCUCAACUUCGGAACUACUACCAAAACUGUUGGACUUGAGUGCAGGAGGGGCAAUCGGAAUUCCUAGUGUAGCGGUGGAAUGCGUAGAUAUUAGGAGGAACACCAGUGGCGAAGGCGGCUUACUGGACUGUAACUGACGUUGAGGCUCGAAAGCGUGGGGAGCAAACAGGAUUAGAUACCCCAGUAGUC